AACGUACGCUGGCGGCACGCCUAACACAUGCAAGUCGAACGAAGUAGCAAUACUUAGUGGCAGACGGGUGAGUAACAUGUAGGUAUCUGCCCUUUGGCCUGGAAUAACACGAGGAAACUUGUGCUAAUACCGGAUAAGUCUUUACGGAGAAAGCUUUAUGCACCAUUGGAUGAGCCUGCACUUGAUUAGUUUGUUGGUGGGGUAAUGGCCUACCAAGACUGUGAUCAAUAGCUGAUUUGAGAGGAUGAUCAGCCACAUUGGGACUGAGACACGGCCCAAACUCCUACGGGAGGCAGCAGUGGGGAAUCUUGCACAAUGGAGGAAACUCUGAUGCAGCGAUGCCGCGUGAGUGAAGAAGGCCCUUGGGUUGUAAAGCUCUUUCGUCGGGGAAGAAAAUGACUGUACCCGAAUAAGAAGGUCCGGCUAACUUCGUGCCAGCAGCCGCGGUAAUACGAAGGGACCUAGCGUAGUUCGGAAUUACUGGGCUUAAAGAGUUCGUAGGUGGUUGAAAAAGUUAGUGGUGAAAUCCCAGAGCUUAACUCUGGAACUGCCAUUAAAACUUUUCAGCUAGAGUAUGAUAGAGGAAAGCAGAAUUUCUAGUGUAGAGGUGAAAUUCGUAGAUAUUAGAAAGAAUACCAAUUGCGAAGGCAGCUUUCUGGAUCAUUACUGACA
rnacentral:rRNA from 1 species